rnacentral:rRNA from 1 species
UGGGGAAUCUUGGACAAUGGGCGCAAGCCUGAUCCAGCCAUUCCGCGUGGAUGAUGAAGGCCUUAGGGUUGUAAAAUCCUUUCAGCAGGGAAGAUAAUGACGGUACCUGCAAAAGAAGCCCCGGCUAACUCCGUGCCAGCAGCCGCGGUAAUACGGAGGGGGCUAGCGUUGUUCGGAAUUACUGGGCGUAAAGCGCGCGUAGGCGGAUCGAUCAGUCAGAGGUGAAAUCCCGGAGCUCAACUUCGGAACUGCCUUUGAUACUGUCGAUCUGGAGUCCGGGAGAGGUGUAUGGAAUUCCGAGUGUAGAGGUGAAAUUCGUAGAUAUUCGGAGGAACACCAGAGGCGAAGGCGAUACACUGGACCGGUACUGACGCUGAGGUGCGAAAGCGUGGGGAGCAAACAGG